CUCUCAGGUUAUGUCUACUAUAGUCAUCAUCCAAUGCUAAAUUGUUUAGAAUCACAGAGAAAACUGGGUGACCAUUACAUACCAAUAAUCAUCCUCUCGUAUAAAGGACAAGCAUCAAUACUAUCAGAAAGUCUUCAUCACAUCCAGAAGUUUCAUUUCACUGAUGCAGGAGUUGGCAAUCGACUGACAUGGUGGAUAAGAGCAAGGAAGGAAUCAAUAUGAUAAUCUUUCAAGUCUGCAAUCCUGGGAUUGUGGUAAUGCCUAGAGAUAAUAUUCAAGGGGUGUAAAUCAGUAAAAUCAAAGUAAAUGUAAAAAUACAAAAACAUUUGUCUACUCACCCAUUGUUCAGAGUGAGUCUACUCUAGACCCAUUGUCUACUCUCUUGUGUGCCUUCCUACUACCCAAGCUUCCAAGGACCUUCCCCUGGGCUCUCCAGGCCAGCAAUUAAAAGGUUGAACCUGGAGGCCAGCCCGGUGGCAUAGCGGUUAAGUUCGCACGCUCCGCUUCAGUGGCCCGGAGUU